ACCCAUUUUUAAUGGGUAAGACAAAACAAAUAGUAAGCAAUAAUCAAAUUCUAGCAAUACCUAAUAUCACAUUUAAUCACAGGUUAUUUUGUCAGGGCGUAAUGCAUGAGUCGAUCACGUAGUGCAUGAGUGCGUCGUCUUUCACAUUUCCACGAGAUGCAAUGUCUCUCAUGCGAUAAAAAUAUUCGUAGGCGCUCUCACCAUCCGAUGCUUCCUCUCAGUCAACUGUGAAUGUAUGUGCUUACUGUUACUCUAGAUUUUAAUUCGCACCAUCGAUACACUUCAGAGCAGCCCAUGAAUUGAGAUGCUAUCCGCUCAAAACAAAUUCUUUCGCAAUACCUAGUUAUGAUGUAUUUGCAAAAAUGAGUGUUUAUAAAUCACUGCAACACAUGGGCAAAGUUUAAUCUUCGAAUUCUGCCACCCAUACUUUAACCGAAAUUUCCUCACUGCCAUUAAAAACUCGGAUGGACUCUUCCAUGUCGCGAAAACUUAUAGCAAAGUUGUUGGCAAUCGUCGUUUUGCUUAGAGUUUCGAGCUGCGCGAGCUCGUAUGUUUUCAAUCGCUGCUACCUCUGCUAAUUCGUCAUCGUUUCUUUCUUGGAUCGUCAAAUUCGUGCGCGUCGCUCUUCAGGUUUUCGUUUUCUACUUCCCUUCUUUCCUCGUCUUCGUCUGCAUUGUUACUAUGCCGAAGCGGUUGGCUGGUGAGCUAAUUCUGAAAAAAAAUGUAACGCAAUGUUUUCUAGAUUUAUUCCUAAAACUGUGAAAGUCGAUACAAGGUCACGCUUAGACAACUUUUCUUGUAUGUAUACGUUUUUCGUCAAAUAUGUUGCGUCGUUUUCAUUAUAUUUAAAGCCGCUGAAUUCACGCAGACGGCGUCGAUAUUUCUGUCACCCUCGGCCUGAAAAAUAAAUUUGUGCGAUGCACAAAUAUUUGUCUUUGCUGCUGCUUUCAGACUUCCUCGAACUAAUACGUUAAAUUUUUUUUUAGUUUUUCUUCUUUAAAGGUGUAAAUUUAAGUAAUUCUGCACAUUCUACAUUUACGUUGUCUAUAAAAUAUGUUCACUAUCGUUUCAGUUUACUUCUUCAACUCCGGAUGAACCCCCACAUCACUUUACUUCUUUAUGUCCGGAUGAGCCUCCAAAUCACUUUACUUCUUUACUCGGGAUGAGCCUUAUAAUCACAUAACUUCGUUAAUCCCGGAUGGGCCUCCAAAUCACUUUACUUCGUCAAUCCUGGACUAGCCGUCAAAUAUGUGGAAUAUUUUCAUUAAUUCUCUCACAACUAUUCUCGAGAGGUUCUAAAAAGGUGCUAGAAAGCGACAGCAGAAAAAGGGUGAGACACUUCUAGAAAUCUAUAUGCGUUGAUGGAAAUAGAAAAAUUAAUCGAUCUCGGGAGUGAGAGCUUGAUUGACUAAUUUAUAGGAGGCAUACCGGGUUCUCAAACAAACAAGUCGCUUAUGUAUUAAGCUUGAACAGUUGAUUGUUCAAAUAAUAACCUAUCAAAAAGUUCCUGGGUCUUGCAACUUGCAAAAAGAGAGACAACCGUUGGUCAAGAUUUAAAAAAAUAAAAUCCGUAACUGUUGUAAUAAAUAAAGGGCUAUUCUAAAAAUAAA